rnacentral:rRNA from 1 species
AGUGAACGCUGGCGGUAGGCCUAACACAUGCAAGUCGAACGGCAGCACAGUAAGAGCUUGCUCUUACGGGUGGCGAGUGGCGGACGGGUGAGGAAUACAUCGGAAUCUACUUUUUCGUGGGGGAUAACGUAGGGAAACUUACGCUAAUACCGCAUACGACCUACGGGUGAAAGCAGGGGAUCUUCGGACCUUGCGCGAUUGAAUGAGCCGAUGUCGGAUUAGCGAGUUGGCGGGGUAAAGGCCCACCAAGGCGACGAUCCGUAGCUGGUCUGAGAGGAUGAUCAGCCACACUGGAACUGGAACACGGUCCAGACUCCUACGGGAGGCAGCAGUGGGGAAUAUUGGACAAUGGGCGCAAGCCUGAUCCAGCCAUACCGCGUGGGUGAAGAAGGCCUUCGGGUUGUAAAGCCCUUUUGUUGGGAAAGAAAAGCAGCAGGUUAAUACCCCGCUGUUCUGACGGUACCCAAAGAAUAAGCACCGGCUAACUUCGUG